AGCUUCUGAAAAACUUCUCUGAGAGACAGAUGACAAGUGCCUUCUGUCCUCUAUUCUUUAUUCGUUUUUGUACUUCACAUGCUGCCUAGGGCCACACCCUUUUGGUGGUGAGUGGGGAGCUGGAAGGAGCCAGGUUCUUGAGGACUUUAUAGGGUAAGAGCUGCCCUGCCAGUUCUAAGCUAUAUACCUCCAGAUUUUAUUUAUUUGGGAGAGAAAUUAACUUUUACCUCGUUUAAGCAACAGUUAUUUUCUUUUCUAUGUCAAGUACCUAAAUCUAAUCCUAAUGAAUAUAAUGGGUAUAAAAUUUUUGAAUUUUUAUGGGUGUUGUCAAGCUUGGUUUAUUUAAUUUAAAAAUAUCUAAUUGACAGAUAAAAAGUAUAUAUAUAUUCAAGGUGUACAACAUGUUGAUGUGAUACACAUAUAUGUACACUGGAUACUGAUUACUACGAUUACUACAGUCAAAUUAAUUAACACAUCUAUUACAACCCGUAGUUAACAUGUGUGCGUGUGUGUGUGGUGGUGUGGUGUUUUAAGUUGAAUUUUCCAGACUUUCUGGGUUUGAAUCUCAGCUUCUCCAUUUACUAGACAUGUGAUCUUGAACAAGUUUCUUAAUCAUUUUGUGCCUUAGUGUUCUCAUAGUGAUAGUGAUAGAAACUACCUCAUUUGGUUGUUAUGAGGAGUAAAUGAGUUAGAAUAUCUGAAACACAUAGAACGUCUAUCUGACAUAGCUGAUACUCAAAAAAAGUAAGCUAUUUAUAUUAUUAUUACUAGUAUCAUUUUUAAUUGUCCUCCAAAGAAGAUGUACCAAUUUGUCUAUUCACUGUCUGGAAGUGUCUCUUUCUCUCCUUUCAUCAAUACUGUGCAUUAGCAAAGAUUUUUGUCCAGUAAAUGAAUAGUGAUAUUUCAUUUUAUUUUAAAUUACCAUCUAAAAUUUUAAGGUUGAAUAUCUUUUUAUAUUUUUAUGCCAUUUAUAUUUAUUUUCUGGUGAAUUUUCUGUUUGUGUGCUCUGUUCAUGAUUUUUUUUUGAAAUAACUCUCGAAUGUAUAAUGAAAAUUAGCCUUUUGCAUGCUAUGGGUGGGGCAAAUAUUUUCCCAAGUUUUUAUUUGUCUUUGACAUUAUUUUUUCCAUACAUAAAUUUUAACAUAGUAAAAAUGAUCCUUCUUUUUCAUUAUAACAUCUGAGCUUAAUGAGAAAGGUCUUUCUCACUCUGGAGUAUAAAAAUAAUUCCCCAUGUUUUUUUCUGGAAGUUUAUAGAUUGGUUUAUAUCAAAAUAUUUUUCCAUUUGGAAUUUAAUUUGGAGUAGACAGUGAAGAACGAGUUGAAGUAAUUCUUCAGAAAGCUUGGUUGGAGGGUUGACAAAAAUGAGCUAUCUGACAUAUAAAUCCUGCAGAAGUUAUAGCUUACUGAUCCGCACAAUAGGUAUAUUUUAAACAAGUAUGCCAGUACGCCCUGGCCAUCGGGCAUGCAGAAGUUUGCUGAGUUUGCCUCUUCAGCUUUCUCUUCUUUGUGGGAAACACAUGGGUUGUUUGUGAUCAUAUCUUGUGUUUCUAGAGUAAGGUCUUGCCAGGUCUAGCAUAAUUACUUAACCAGUUUGCAAAACUGCCUUUCACACAUCAUAUCACCUGGUUCUCACGUCCAGGUAGUACACAAUUUCUUCUCCUGCCAGCAGGGCCACCUUGCUAUUCGUUCACAGGAUAAAUAAUAAUGCCACAGUAUGUCAUACCUGUGCUAACAAUGACCCAUCUGUGGACAUGACAGUCAGGGACUACCUAUGCUUCACAGCCAAGGAGGGAUGGAGCCCAGCAAGCUGCACCAGGACCUGCCACUGGCCUUCAUCUUUGUCUUUUUUCCAGGUAGUUUAUGAGAACACAAGCUCUAGAGUAAAACCAUUUGGCUUUGUACUUCCACUCUGCCGCUUUUGAACUAUUGGUCCAAGCGCCAAGUUCACUUCGCCUUUUUGUGCUUUAGUUUCUCAUCUGUAAAGUGGGGAUUAUAACAUUGUGUGGGAAUUAAAUAAAUAAAUAUAUGUAAAGUGCUUAAAAAUUGCUUGGCAACAAGUACUUAGUAAAUAUUAAAAGGGCUUUUCCCCAAUCCAGAAUAUAAAAUAAUUCCUUUAUUUUUUUCCUAGGACUUUACAGAUUCAUUUAUAUUAAAAAGUGCAUAAUAUUUAUAAUAAAUGUAACUAUAAUAAAUGUAUAAUAUUAUAAUAAUAAAACAUUGGUAAGAAAAAAGUGUUAUAACUUUAUGAAUAGAAUCACUAUCAUUUGAAGAAUGCAUUUGCUUCUAAAUGUCACCUUUGUCAUAACUGAAUUUGCAUAUGUGUUUGAGUCUAGUUCUGGAUUCUCUAUCAAUUCAUUCAUCUAGCUUAAUCACAAAUGCUUUAUAAUAUGUUUUAUUAUCUAAUAGGGCUUGCCUAAUUCAUUAUGCUUCCUUUGUAGAUUUUUUUUCUGGCUAAGCUUGAAUUUUGAUAUUUAUACAAAAGUCUUAGAACCAGCUGCUCUUAUAUUUAAAAAAUCAAUUAAUAUUUUAUUGGGGUUGCAACAAAUUUACAUAUUCAUUUAGAAAGAAUUGACAGUCUUACCAUAUUAGCUUUUCCUAUUUCAAUUAAAAAUGCUCUUCAUUUGUAUUCAAGCUGAUUUUGUUUUAAAAUGUCUCUCGGAAAGUUUUUUGAAAGUCUUUUUUUUGUGUAGUUACUGCACAUUUCUUAAGUUUACUCCCUCUCUCCUUCCUUCCCAUCCUUUCUUUUUCUUCCUUCCCUUCUUCCCUUUUUCCUCCUCCUCUUCUUCCUCUUCCUUUUCCUCUUCUUCUUUUAUGGUAAAUAGCACCAAUUCUUUUAUUAUGUUUUCUGAUUACUUCUUGUUUGUAUAGGGAAGAACUAUCAAUUGUGACUUUGUGAGUUUGUGUUCCACAACUGGAUCAGAAAAAUGAAUGAAAAUCAUCUAACCUCACCUCCCUCGUUGCAAUUACGUAUAAUCAUAUGUUGGAAGGAGAUAAACUGAGUCAAGAAAAUAGCUGUUUUAGAAGAGAGGCCCCAGAAGGGAGAGGCUAGAGAACAAGUAGGGAGGGAAUAAUUGUGACUGAGAAAAGGGCUGACUGUGAAUGAAGUGAUUGGAGCAACCCUCCACAAGCGCGUUGAUGAGUAACAGUGCAGAUCAAAAAUGGUUGCAUGUGCCCAAAAGUGUACAUAGGCAAUUCUAUGGUGUUUGAUGCUUCCUAUUACUUUAAAUGAUUGAAUUAAAACUAGAUAAAUGAAGCAUUC
rnacentral:lncRNA from 1 species